rnacentral:rRNA from 1 species
UGCAGUCGAGCGACAGACGAGGAGCUUGCUCCUCUGACGUUAGCGGCGGACGGGUGAGUAACACGUGGAUAACCUACCUAUAAGACUGGGAUAACUUCGGGAAACCGGAGCUAAUACCGGAUAAUAUAUUGAACCGCRKGGUUCAAUAGUGAAAGACGGUUUUGCUGUCACUUAUAGAUGGAUCCGCGCCGCAUUAGCUAGUUGGUAAGGUAACGGCUUACCARGGCAACGAUGCGUASCCSACCUGAGAGGGUGAUCGGCCACACUGGAACUGAGACACGGUCCASACUCCUACGGGAGGCAGCAGUAGGGAAUCUUCCGCARUGGGCGAAAGCCUGACRGAGCAACGCCGCGUGAGUGAUGAAGGUCUUCRGAUCGUAAAACUCUGUUAUUAGGGAAGAACAAAUGUGUAAGUAACUAUGCACGUCUUGACGGUACCUAAUCAGAAAGCCACGGCUAACUACGUGCCAGCAGCC